GUGCUCACUUUGGCAGAACAUAUACUAAAAUUGGAACAAUACAGAGGAGAUUAGCAUGGACCCUGAACAAGGAUGAUACACAAAUUCAUGAAGUAUUCCAUACGUUU